rnacentral:rRNA from 1 species
AUUGAACGCUGGCGGCAGGCCUAACACAUGCAAGUCGGACGGUAGCACAGAGAGCUUGCUCUCGGGUGACGAGUGGCGGACGGGUGAGUAAUGUCUGGGGAUCUGCCCGAUAGAGGGGGAUAACCACUGGAAACGGUGGCUAAUACCGCAUAACGUCGCAAGACCAAAGAGGGGGACCUUCGGGCCUCUCACUAUCGGAUGAACCCAGAUGGGAUUAGCUAGUAGGCGGGGUAACGGCCCACCUGGGCGACGACCCCUAGCUGGUCUGAGAGGAUGACCAGCCACACUGGAACUGAGACACGGUCCAGACUCCUACGGGAGGCAGCAGUGGGGAAUAUUGCACAAUGGGCGCAAGCCUGAUGCAGCCAUGCCGCGUGUAUGAAGAAGGCCUUCGGGUUGUAAAGUACUUUCAGCGGGGAGGAAGGCGAUGUGGUUAAUAACCGUAUCGAUUGACGUUACCCGCAGAAGAAGCACCGGCUAACUUCGUGCCAGCAGCCGCCGUAA